rnacentral:rRNA from 1 species
AUGCCAACCUUUCGUGAAGCUGCAGAAAAAAGAGGGCUCAUUGAGGCAGAUAGCACAUUGGACGACUGCAUGACAGAAGCGGAGUUGUUUAGAAUGCCAUCAUCGCUACGAAGGCUAUUUGCGACAAUCUUGGUUUUUUGCGAACCCAGCGAUGUACGUAGCCUCUGGAACAAGCACCUUGAGGCAAUGUCAGAGGACUACAGCAGAAAUUGCAAAUGCAAGCACACAGUCGAACAGAUGGUUCUGAAAAAUAUCAAAGACAUGUUGCACUCAAUGGGAAAAGACAUAGAAUCGUUUCCUCUUCCAGAGAUCGACCAACAGCAUGAGACGACAGACGACAUACCGAGGGAGAUCAUCGAGGAGACCUCCAUCGAGGUGGACCCUGAGGACGCAUCUUUUCAUAAGAACCUAAACAACGAGCAAAGGGAGGCCUACGACGAAAUCCUAGCCACAAUUGACCGCCAAAGAGGAGGUAUAUUCUUU